AAAAUCACAACAAAUUAGAAUUGUAAUUUACAAGUAAAAUUAUAUAUUGUAUUGUUUCAAGGAGAGUACGACGACAAGUGCACCCAGCGACAUAGGCGUACCUCUAAUCGGGUCCUUCGCAUUGACUGAACUGAAAAAAGAAGUACUGGAGGGGAUUCUGAGAGAGUUAAAAGAAAUUAAUUAAAAAAACUAAUAUAAAAAUGA